ensembl:processed_transcript Gm16759 predicted gene, 16759
UUAAACUUCAGAGCCACUUGGACUGGGUUUAUAGCACAAAGCUGUCCUGUGAUCAGAGGUCAGAAGAGGGCUUCUGAUCCACUGGCGCUGAACUGAUACAUGCUUCUGAGCCUUGAUAUGGGCGCUGGGAACUGAACCUGGGUCCUCUACAAGAACAAGUGAGCUUAACUGCCAAGCCAACUCUCCAGCACACAAAACUAGUUCCCUUAACCUUUGUGUUUAUUUGUACAUGACCAUCAUAUACGUCCAGACCAGUAAAAAACUACAAUCUAUUUUAUUAAAAACAAAACUAACUUGUAAGAAACUCAACUGUACACACCCAUGUGCUCAGUGUGCACACACAUGUGCUCAGUGUGCACACACAUGUGCACACAUUACUCUCCUGGUGGGUUAAUGCUUUGUCAUUUGGUAUCUAACUUAAUAAACACGUUCUUCUUUGCUGCACUUU